AAGCCGUUAACCUAUAAAAUAAAUACCAAUUUUUUCCUUGAUUAAACCUCCAAUCUUGUUUGUUACGGUAACUCAAAAAAGUUGAAUUAUACCCUUGGACUUGGAGAAAUUAUUAGGGGAUUAAAAAAAUUAAAAAAAAAAGUCAGAACUUAGAAGCGUAAAGUGUAAAACACUAAAACUACACACAUUAGAUUUGUCUCCUCCGAUUCCGAACACGAAAAUCGCAGCAGGCAGCACCAGUCACUGUGGCUGACAUGGCAGAUGGCACCCUCCAAUCUUACCGCCAUCACUGCGCAGCUCCGCUUUCAAACGACGUCGUUCGUUCGUUUGUAUAUGUCUUAUCCUAUUAUGCUACUCAGAAACUGCUCAUUGGACUGUUCUCCCUUUCAUCAGGGAUAGCUUUUGUAUGAUUGGUUAUGCUAUUGGUGCCACUACAAGUGCAUUUUAUGGAUUCAACAAUGUAUUGCCGGACCUAUGUGGUUGCAUUUUCUCAUUGGUGAGGUGCCUUGCAAACUUUCCUUUGGCAUCAAUGGAACAAUGGCUGACCUAGCUGCUCUUGCUUCCUCCCCUUGACCUAUAGAAUCACAUUGCCACUUUAAAUGUAAGUAAGUUGACUUUGAUCAUUCUUUUUAAUUAGCAAGAGAAUCAUAAAUCAACCUUGAAAUAGAAGAACUUAUUGUGAGUUUCAGUUCAUUCCUUUCAUGACUACUGCAUACAUAAUGCUUUUGUCAAUGACUAAGUCUUUGUAUUAGGUAGGUAUUUGAUAUUCACAGAGCAGAGGGGACAGGAUAAUGUGUUGGGAGGGUUAAGCUUUUGUUGUUUUCUGUAGUUAGCCUUUCUAAAAGUUGCUUUCUGACUCACCACCUUUGAAACAUUUUUGUUGAGGCAUUUUUAUUUUAGUUUUCAGAGCCUCUAAAGAUGCUGCCUACUGUCUACACAAUCUUGUCCAUUAUUAUCAUUUCUAAUUUGUACCAUCAUUAUCGUUUCCAAUUUGGAUCGGUUCUGUUUGAAUGUAGAUAACGUUGGUUGCUUUCCCAGGAAGAUCUUCAUGCAUUUUAAUUAACAGCGAACUCCGACCGUGCCAAAAUUAUCCUCUUGCUGGAUCCAUUUCCUGUUAGUGUGAUUUUGCAAUUUGUAACUGUUCAAUCACUUUGCAGCAUGAUAUAUUUUGCAGUGUGGUUCUUAUUGUUUUUAUCUCUCAUGAUUUGCACAUUGGAGUAUAUAAAAUUCACUUUUCAUAGGUAUUGAAGUGUCAUUCUGCUUUUACUUAUGUGGUGGAGAAAGAUUCCUAGGAUUGUACCUUUGCUUUCAUACUCCGGUUAGAAGUUGAUAACAUGGUACUGACAUAGACCUCUCUGCAAUUCAAGCACCACCUGUGAUAGUGUUCUCUUCUGCCUGUGCAGGAUUCGCCGGUGGGGCUGCUCCUUCUUAGGCACAACUUGCAUCCUCAUCUUAUCAUGCAGCAUAUUGAGCUCCUGCCUUACCUCCGCCAUCGAUGGAUGAUGAUAAGAUUCAGAAUUCAAGAUCAUCCUUCACUAUCCAAGACACGCAUGUGCAUGCGCACGCACAGAACCACACAUGUACAUACUCUGGCCAGUCGUCCGGUGGUGGAUCUAAGAUCCUUCUUUUGUUUUUUUGGGUGUAUAUAUAAAAUUCCUUCCCUUCAAGCUUAGGUAACCACUACAUGUCUUAUCUGUGCAUGAUUUUCCUCUUGUUUUGCAUAAACUCCUGAUUUAGGAGUUAGGGUUCAGAGUUUAUAAUUACAAAUUUAAUUAAUCUUUUAAGAUUACAACGCUUAUGUCCAAGUAGUACAAUUUGGCUGUCCUUCUGGUAUCAAAUUUUUGCUCUUCUUUUUUUA